rnacentral:rRNA from 1 species
GCUUCCUACUUAUACCUCGCCGUUCAGUUAGAGCCGGGCCUCGAGCCCCCCACAACUGAACGAGUAGGCAGGUCGAACCGGUGGCGCGGAAGGCUCUGGGUGUGAACCUGGCUGGAGCCGCCGGUUGUGCAGAUCUUGGUGGUAGUAGCAAAUACUCCAGAGAGGCCCUGGAGGACCGAUGUGGAGAAGGGUUUCGUGUGAACAGCCGUUGAACACGAGUCAGUCGGUCCUAAGGCUUAGGGGAAGCCUUGUUUAAUAGUGCGAUUUUCUUGUUUCCAACAGAACUCGCAUCGACAGCCGAAAGGGAAUGAGGUCCAUAUUCCUCAACCGGGCAGCGUAACUGUUUGGGCCCUCGUACCCAACAUGGCAACAUGAUAUGACUCUGAGACGCCCGCCGGAGCUCUGGGAAGAGUUGUCUUUUCUGCAUAAGCUGCCGAGGCCCUGGAAUUCCUUUGAGGAGAGAAUGGGUUUUGGUUUAGCCAAGAGCACAGCAGUUCUCGCUGUGUCCAUGAGUGCCCGGUGGGACCUUGAAAAUCAGAGUGAGGGUUACAGCGAUUCGCGCCCGUCCGUACCCAUAUCCGCAGCAGGUCUCCUAGGUGAAUAGCCUCUGGUCGAUAGAAUAAUGUA